rnacentral:rRNA from 1 species
GACGAACGCUGGCGGCGCGCUUAACACAUGCAAGUCGAACGGAAAGGCCUGCUUUCCCUUGUGGAUUGCGGGUACUCGAGUGGCGAACGGGUGAGUAACACGUGAGUGAUCUGCCCCCAACUUGGGUAUAAGCCUGGGAAACUGGGUCUAAUUCCCGAUAGGACUGCAGGGUGGUGCCUGUGGUGGCAAACGAUUUUCUAGUGGUUGGGGAUGAGCUCGCGGCCUAUCAGCUUGUUGGUGGGGUAAUGGCCUACCAAGGCGGCGACGGGUAGCCGGCCUGGGAGGGUGGACGGCCACAUUGAGACUGAGAUACGGCCCAGACUCCUACGGGAGGCAGCAGUGGGGAAUAUUGCACAAUGGGCGGAAGCCUGAUGCAGCGACGCCGCGUGGGGGAUGACGGCCUUCGGGUUGUAACCUCCUUUCGACCGCGAGGAAGCCACCUGGUUGGAAGGGUGGUGACGGUAGUGGUAGAAGAAGCACCGGCUAACUACGUG